rfam:Oryza barthii chromosome 10, whole genome shotgun sequence.
AAAAAAACAAACCCUAGAUUUUCGUGUCCAACGUUUGACCGUCCGUCUUAUUUAAAAAAAUUAUAAAAAAAAUUAAAAAGACAAGUCACACAUAAAGUAUUAAUCAUGUUUUAUCAUCUAACAACAAUAAAAAUACUAAUUAUAAAAAAAUUCAUAUAAGACGGACAGUUAAACGUUGGACACGGAAAUCAGCAGUACUCCAC